GGGUGGGUAGCUCAGCUGGGAGAGCGCCGCCCUUACAAGGCGGAAGUCGCAGGUUCAAAUCCUGUCCCACCCACCA
rnacentral:tRNA from 1 species